AAGCGGGGAGCACACACUUUUGCAUAAGCGCAUAACAAUAAGCAUAAGGAAAUUGAUUGGUUCAUUUCCUUAUGCAUAUAUUUGUGGACCAAUCAAUUUCUUUAUGUUUAUGGUUAUGCGCUUAUGCAAAAGUGUGUGCUCCCCGCUUUAUAGUCGAAUAGCCAAAAUAGCCAAAAUCUUAGUUUUAAGGUUAUUCAAUAUUCUUUUUUACUGUUUCAAACACAUUGCACGCGAAAAUAUUUUAAUAAUAAAAAUUUAAAAAUAUGAUGAUACGAAAUACAGCAUGUUAUGACCAAAUAUAUUUUAUUUACUGUUAAUAUAUAAUUUACAGUACAUCUUUUAUAAUAAAAAUGGAAAAUGAUGAUGAAUUUUUAAUUUUUAUUAUGUAUUGGAUAAACUUAUGUUUUUUGCUAAUACGUAAAAAAAAACAAAAGAGGUGGUUAAAUAGGCAAUGGCUUGUGAGCCUAUUAACCAAAAGAGAAUUCAAGCUGGAGAUUAUAAUUUUUAUUUCAAAAAAUAAAAAAUGAUUCUGAUUUAUUUUAUCGUUAUAUCCGAAUAACGUUGGUACAUUUUCAACAAUUAAAAAUGACAAAACCAUAUUUGACAAAAAAAAGUCCUUGUGCUUUAAUCCCAGAAUUACGACUUUUAAUAACUUUAAGAUAUCUUGCUACAGGUUAGGUUAGGUUAGCAUUUAGCAUUUACCAUAGCUUUGGCAUUCAGAAUUGACGAAUCUACAGUAAGAGAAGCAGUAAAAGAAGUCUAUCUGAUUUUAAUUAAAGUAUUAGAGCCAUUAUAUCUUUCUUCACCUAUAAAAGAGGAUUGGAGGAAAUGUGCACAUGGAUUUUGGACAAGAUGGAACAUUCCUAAUUGUGUAGGUUCUGUUGAUAGCAAACAUAUCCGAUUAUGCUGUCCUCCAAACUCUGGAAGUUUAUAUUUUAACUAUAAAAAAUUUUAUAGUAUAGUAUUAUUGGCAAUAACUGAUCAUCUACACAGAUUUACAUUGGUUGACAUUGGAGUAUCUGGAGGAAACAGUGAUAGGGGAAUUUUCAAUGAAUGUGAAAUUAAUUUAAAUAAUAAUGGGUUAAAUUUAAUAGAAAAUUCUCCAUGGUAGCAAUUUAAAAAUCUACACUUAUUUUGUGGCUGACGAUGCUUUCAAAUUAUCGAAGAAUUAUGAAGCCUUAUUCCAGGAAAUACUUGACAUAUAAAUAGAAAAUUUUCAAUUAUCGAAUUAGCAGAGAACAGUCGAAAGUGCUUUUGGGAUUUUUUUCCUAAAAAUGUAGAAUAUUUCAAACAGCAAUCAGUAUGUUACCAGAAACCACUGAUUUAAUUGUAACAGCUUCGGUGUGUCUACACAAUUAUGUAUUGAAAGAGGAGCAACAUAGUGGAUAUAAAAUGUACAGCUACAAUCAAUUUCUAAUAAUAAUGCUGAUCAGAAUUCAUCUUGGAUCAGUAUACCGAAUGUUAUUGAAGAAGAUAAUGACGUAAGAUAUGUUGAAACUCAAAGAAAUAUUUUGAGUGAUUAUUUUGUUUCUGGAGUUGGAGAAGUGGAAUGGCAGCAUAAGUAUGUUCAAAGAGGUGUAUAU